GUUUUGCAAGUUCAUGGUGGUGGGAAUGUUGCAGCUGUGUCAUGCACUCAGAUAUGGCUAGACGUGAUAUCUGGCUUAUGUGAUGAGUGUGCUGGAACUGCUCGGCCGAGAAGCAAGUGUAUAUAAAGAGGAGAACACUUGUGCAAUACACAAGAGUCUGAACUGCAGGAUACCUUUACAAGCAGUACUGAGACUAAAAUGGAGCGUUGGUCAGGUCGUGUUGCCGUGGUAACAGGAGCCAGUGCCGGGAUAGGAGCAGCCAUCGCUAAAGAACUCGUGAAGAAAGGACUCAAAGUGGUCGGACUGGCGCGCAGAGUGGAGAGGAUUGAGGAGCUAGCCGCCUCCCUGAAAUCCGCACCGGGUAAACUGCACGCUCUGAAAUGUGACGUUACUAAGGAGAGUGAAGUUCAGGCGGCCUUCAAGUGGAUCAAAACUAACCUCGGUGGAGUCGACAUCCUCAUCAACAACGCAGGAGCUGCUUAUAACAGCAAACUUAUAACCGGCCCUGUUGAGAACUGGAGGCGAAUCCUGGACCUGAAUGUCCUAGCGCUGAGUGUCUGCACCAAGGAAGCGCUCGAGUCCAUGAAGGAGAAGGGAGUGGAUGAUGGACACAUUGUUCAUAUUAACAGUGUCGCUGGUCACAGAAUUCCGACAUCAGGUAUGUCCACAAACAUGUACUGGGCAUCAAAGCACGCCGUUACCCUUCUCACUGAGGGGCUCAGGCAGGAACUGGUUGCGGAGAAAUCAAAGAUACGGGUUACUAGUGUGAGCCCUGGAGUGGUGGAAACAGAAUUCAUAGCGGCGACUGGAAGUGAAGUAGAUCCCAAACAAAUAUAUUCUAGCUUCCCUCACUUGGAGGCAAAGGACGUAGCCGAUGCCGUUCUGUAUGUGCUUGGAGUACCUCCACAUGUACAGAUCCACGAGCUCACCAUUAAACCUAUCGGGGAAAGUUUCUAAUAACGUCACUCGCGAUAAGGAGAGGCCUUGCGAAGGGCUGAUCCUCCGUCCAAGGAGUUUCACCAGCUGCCUGUAAGAUUCAUAGUUGCAGAAUAAAUUUUGAAUGGGAACAGGCCAUGGGGCCUAAUACGUCAAUGAAAGAAGAGGAAGUUAUUACCUAAUUCCAGCCAUCGGAAGCACUGUCAUGUAACCAUGGGAACUUAACUGCCACAGAAUUCUGGGAGAAUUCCGAUUUUCGGAUGUGACGAUUCGUGCUU